AGAUUGAACGCUGGCGGCAUGCCUAACACAUGCAAGUCGAACGGUAACAGGCCCGCAAGGGUGCUGACGAGUGGCGGACGGGUGAGGAAUACAUAGGAAUCUGCCCUAUUGUGGGGGAUAACGUAGGGAAACUUACGCUAAUACCGCAUAAGACCGAAAGGUGAAAGUGGGGGACCGCAAGGCCUCACGCGAUAGGAUGAGCCUAUGUCGGAUUAGCUAGUUGGUAGGGUAAAGGCCUACCAAGGCGACGAUCCGUAGCUGGUCUGAGAGGAUGAUCAGCCACACUGGGACUGAGACACCGGCCCAGACUCCUACGGGACG
rnacentral:rRNA from 1 species